UACGUAGGGGGCAAGCGUUAUCCGGAUUUACUGGGUGUAAAGGGAGCGUAGGCGGUGCAGCAAGUCAGAAGUGAAAGCCCGGGGCUCAACCCCGGGCAUGCAUUGGAAACUGGCGGGCUGGAGUGCCGGAGAGGUAAGCGGAAUUCCUAGUGUAGCGGUGAAAUGCGUAGAUAUUAGGAGGAACACCAGUGGCGAAGGCGGCUUACUGGACGGCAACUGACGCUGAGGCUCGAAAGCGUGGGGAGCAAACAGG
rnacentral:rRNA from 1 species